GAGUUUGAUCGUGGCUCAGGACGAACGCUGGCGGCGUGCUUAACACAUGCAAGUCGAACGGAAAGGCCCUUCGGGGUACUCGAGUGGCGAACGGGUGAGUAACACGUGAGUAACCUGCCCUGGACUUUGGGAUAACCCUCGGAAACGGGGGCUAAUACCGGAUAUGACUUCGGCCGGCAUCGGUUGGGGUGGAAAGUUUUUCGGUCUGGGAUGGGCUCGCGGCCUAUCAGCUUGUUGGUGGGGUGAUGGCCUACCAAGGCGACGACGGGUAGCCGGCCUGAGAGGGCGACCGGCCACACUGGGACUGAGACACGGCCCAGACUCCUACGGGAGGCAGCAGUGGGGAAUAUUGCACAAUGGGCGGAAGCCUGAUGCAGCGACGCCGCGUGAGGGAUGAAGGCCUUCGGGUUGUAAACCU
rnacentral:rRNA from 1 species